GACGAACGCUGGCGGCGUGCUUAACACAUGCAAGUCGAAUGGAAAGGCCCUGCUUUUGUGGGGUGCUCGAGUGGCGAACGGGUGAGUAACACGUGAGUAACCUGCCCUUGACUUUGGGAUAACUUCAGGAAACUGGGGCUAAUACCGGAUAGGAGCUCCUGCUGCAUGGUGGGGGUUGGAAAGUUUCGGCGGGUGGGGAUGGACUCGCGGCUUAUCAGCUUGUUGGUGGGGUAGUGGCUUACCAAGGCUUUGACGGGUAGCCGGCCUGAGAGGGUGACCGGCCACAUUGGGACUGAGAUACGGCCCAGACUCCUACGGGAGGCAGCAGUGGGGAAUAUUGCACAAUGGGCGGAAGCCUGAUGCAGCAACGCCGCGUGCGGGAUGACGGCCUUCGGGUUGUAAACCGCUUUCGCCUGUGACGAAGCGUGAGUGACGGUAAUGGGUAAAGAAGCACCGGCUAACUACGUG
rnacentral:rRNA from 1 species